UGGGUGGAUGAGUGGCGAACGGGUGAGUAACACGUGAGUAACCUGCCCCUUCUUUGGGAUAACGCCCGGAAACGGGUGCUAAUACUGGAUAUUCACUGGCCUUCGCAUGGGGGUUGGUGGAAAGGUUUUUUCUGGUGGGGGAUGGGCUCGCGGCCUAUCAGCUUGUUGGUGGGGUGAUGGCCUACCAAGGCUUUGACGGGUAGCCGGCCUGAGAGGGUGACCGGUCACAUUGGGACUGAGAUACGGCCCAG
rnacentral:rRNA from 1 species